GGCGCGGUGGCGGAGUGGUUAUCGCGCAAGACUAGAAAUCUUGUUCCUUCGGGAGCGCAGGGUGAGUUUCUUCGCAGCCGGAUUUCCAUCUAUCAUAUUCUAACAUGUAAUUUAGUUCGAGUCCUGCCCGCGUCG